GCACUGUGGCUGCUGACGGAAUCACAUAGGGUGCUUUAAGGACGAAGUCAUUGGUUCGGUGCAGCAAACAACCAUGGUGACAGUGGAGUCCUGGGAUUACAGGUGUCAGCGUGGUGAAGAGAGCUGUGGAACCACUUUGACAAAUGGCAUAUAAAGAAGAUAGUGCGGAAGUACUUGGCUCGUUAGGCUUUGGCGGUUCGCGGUUGUAUGAAUAUCAUUUCAUUGUGAAUAAUCAAUCGACACAAUGGCAGUAUUAUAUUGUAGGUCAAAUAUUGUUUUAUCAAGAGAUCAUCAAGCAUGGAAGCCUGCCUACAUAUGGAGUUAAUUUUAAGGAAGUAGGUGCCUACUCCAGUUGGCAAUCAACCAGGAACUCAUAACCUUU